UUUUAUUUGAGAGUUUGAUCCUGGCUCAGGAUGAACGCUGGCGGCGUGCCUAACACAUGCAAGUUGAGCGAUUUACUUCGGUAAAGAGCGGCGGACGGGUGAGUAACGCGUGGGUAACCUACCCUGUACACACGGAUAACAUACCGAAAGGUAUGCUAAUACGGGAUAAUAUAUUUGAGAGGCAUCUCUUGAAUAUCAAAGGUGAGCCAGUACAGGAUGGACCCGCGUCUGAUUAGCUAGUUGGUAAGGUAACGGCUUACCAAGGCGACGAUCAGUAGCCGACCUGAGAGGGUGAUCGGCCACAUUGGAACUGAGACACGGUCCAAACUCCU
rnacentral:rRNA from 1 species